ACUCCACUCUGCCUGUUUUUCCACACGGUACAGUCUGAACACACGGGCACGGAAUGGAGAUGGAAAGGAGCCAGAGCAGCCUGUCAUCCACGGACUCCCCUCACGAUCCAUGCAAAAUGUUUAUAGGCGGUCUCAGCUGGCAGACGACACAAGAGGGAUUGAAAGAGUACUUUUGCAAGUAUGGCGAGGUGAAAGAGUGCAUGGUGAUGCGGGAUCCAGUUACAAAGCGCUCGAGGGGUUUUGGAUUUGUCACUUUUGUUGACCAGGCCGGUGUGGAUUCAGUUUCGGCAGUAACCAGGCAUGAGUUGGAUUCAAAAACAGAGUGUUGGACAUCAGGAGGGUUGGUGACUGGAGAUUGAUCCGAAAGUUGCGUUCCCGCGUAGAGCCCAGCCCAAGCUAGUGACUCGGACCAAGAAGAUUUUUGUUGGAGGUCUGUCCGUGAACACGACCAUCGAGGAUGUUAAGGCGUAUUUCGACCAGUUCGGAAAGGUUGACGAUGCCAUGCUCAUGUUUGACAAGACCACCAACAGACACAGAGGAUUUGGCUUUGUCACGUUUGAGAAUGAGGACGUGGUAGAUAAAGUGUGUGAGAUCCACUUCCAUGAGAUAAAUAACAAAAUGGUGGAGUGUAAGAAGGCUCAGCCCAAGGAAGUGAUGUCACCCAUGGGCUCGGCCAGGGGGCGCUCUCGGGUGAUGCCCUAUGGCAUGGACGCUUUCAUGCUGGGUAUCGGCAUGCUGGGCAGGGGGCAGCACUGUUUCACUCAAACACAGACCCAUGACUGUCCUUUCACCAUAGGUUACCCAGGGUUCCAGGCAGCUACAUAUGCUAGUCGAAGUUACACUGGCAUCACCCCUGGAUAUACCUAUCAAUUCCCUGAAUUCCAUUUAGAGAGGACCCCCCUUCUGACAUCAUCCCACCCCCCUGAGCUCACAGCCAUUCCUCUGUCGGCAUACGGACCAAUGGCAGCAGCGGCAGCAGCAGUAGCUAGAGGUAUGUCGGUGCUGUUUAAGAUGAGGGACGACGAUUUUUCUUCUAUUACAGCAUAUUGGAUGACUGUCAUUCAUAUUCCAUUCACCCAGUUCAAUGUAACAGUGAUAGGUUUAGGCCACUACAUGAUACUCAGAUUCUCCCUAUACCCAUCAUGAGGUUGCUACAACAUAGCCUACGAAUAAACAUUUACAAUGUAGGUGCACAGGUCCAAGAGACAAAUUUGAGUAAUCAAGGUGACAGACAGUGACACGUUCAAUACCGUCUCGCACAUCAAGCUCAGGGAUGGGCAACUGGCGGCAUGCGGACCAAUUAAAAACUAGAACUUACUGUUGAGAGUUAGAAUAAUAGAAUACACAAGGUGCAAUUUUUUCACUCAAUUAGAUCAUGUCAACUAAAAUGUUUUUGAUUGGUAAGUUAGUCUAGCGGCCAGCUAUCUAAACUUUUAGUAAGCAUGGUCGAUUACUGACCGGUAUGGGGCCCUUUGAUCAUCAGUUAUCAUAUUAAAAAUGGUACACAUUUGCCUCCACCCCCUGGCAAAAUGUGUAGAAUUGCAGCAAACUUGCUUUAAAAUGGCAACAUUUUCUCUACGUCCCAUGGCAAAAUGUGCAGAAUUGAACAAAAUUAACUUUAAAACUUUUUUCCCCCUCUUCGCUGUCACGAAGGGGGCCGCUAAAAUGUUCUAGAUUCAUUCUCUGAUCAUUUGAUUGGGUGGAUUACACGUCAGUUCAUGCUGCAAGAGCUCUGAUAGGUUGGAGGACGUCCUCCGGAAAUUACUGUGUAAGUCUAUGGAAGUGGGUGAGAACCAUGAGAUUUUGUAUUGAAGUCAAUGUACCAAGAGGAGGAUGGAAGCUAGCUGUCUUCCGGCUACACCAUGGUGCUACCCUACAGAGGGCUGUUGAUUCUACUGUAGACCUACUUUGUAAAACAGUGUGCUUUAAUUAAUUAUUUGGUGAUGUGAAUAUAUUUAGUACAGUUUAAUCAAAAAAGGAAUACUUUUUUUUAAUGUUUCACAAUUUUUCUGAAAUUCACUGAGGAGGAUGGUCCUCCCCUUCCUCCUCUGAGGAGCCUCCACUGGUAUGAGGGGUUGAAAGACUGAAAACCUCUGUCAUCUGUAUCUCUGCCAGGGUAUGACUGAAUGGAGAAAUUGUCUGGUUGUUGUACAGUAUUUCUUCUGUGACUGUCCACUUAUUUGCAUCUGUAUUUGAUAUAUUAGGCUCCACCCCCUCUCGUUCAGGAGGGUUCCUGGGAACCAGCAGCCCUGGGCCAAUGGCAGACUUGUAUGCAGCAGCCAAUCAGGAGUCUGCUGUCAGCAGCUACCUCAGCGCUGCAAGCCCCUCCCCAAGCACUGGGUUUGGCCAUAGUCUGGGGGGCCCUCUGAUUGCUACGGCUUUCACUAACGGCUAUCACUGAGAGACUCUGUGAUCUGAGAGAUGGAAGGAGUUGAAACUGCUUUGAGCUGAUCCGACUCUCUAUGGUUACUCCUCUCUGGCUGUGUGACCCUGCAGUUUGGACCCUGACCCUUGACCCCUGAUGUCCCCACCCCUCCUCCCGCUGAGGAUCUCUCUUCUUCAGACUUCCUGUGUUCUGUCUUAACAUCACCUCCUGUCUAACAUGUUACUGUAGUUAGCAGAAAGGAACAACAACCUUUAAAAUGUUUCUGCUUGUAUUAGAAAGACAUACAGAUAAUUCUAGCUACUUUCUUCUUUUGUUUUAUUUCACUUAAAUGUUUUGUGAAAAUUGUAAUGUAAUCUCAUAUGUCUUGAUUCUUUGUUUAGUUUUUGGGAUUUUUUUUGUCAGAAGGUGUUUUAUUGAGAGGCGGAGAGGGAAAAAGAGUGAUCUCCAGGUACGAAAUAUGUGAAGGACUGGAACAAUAAUUUCUAUUGAAUAAGUGUAUAUUUGUCUUUUAGUUCAUACUGAAUUUUAACAGAAAAUGUCUGAUUAAUGAAUUAAAAAAAAAAAAACGUAUUUCAAUGUUGAAAAUGUAUAUCUUGGUAGGUUUUGAACAAGCAUUUGUUAUACUAAUAAUGAUCAAAGUAACAAAAUUGAUAGUCAUGAGUCUAUUUCCAGUCAGAUUGAACCGUGUGAUGUCUGUUUUUGUAAAAUAUUGUAAAUAUAACUGUAUUUUGGAUUCUGCAAAAAAAUGAAGGGUGUUGGGAGGGCAGGGGAAAUGGUACGAUGGUAUUUGUUUUCAGCAGAUGGUUUUAUAGUUUCAUUGGAAACCCAGACUGGAAAUCCAGACUGUUCCAUAUCAUAGUAUAAUAGAUACGGGAGGUCAGUCAUCAUCACAGGUAUUGUCAGACACAAACUGUGUUUUUGUCAAGUCAGUUUUAUCAUUCUCUUUCCACUGGACAACAUUCAUGACACUAACAUGAAGUUAUGAUAUAGUUUUAUGGGAGGGUUUAUUACUGAUGUAUUGUUUGAUUCAUAUUAUUUAGUUGUCUUGGUUGUGAGCCUGACCCUGUCAGAGUGAAAGGGUUUUCUCCUAUACUGUGAAUUCACCCAGGAAUCCCUUUUAUCAGCACUGGGAGAGAGAAAGCUUGAGAUGUUACAUUAACGUGGGAGACGCGGGUGUUGGGAUACUCCUUUAAUAUGAGAAAAACUAGCUGUUUCUAUCCUCAUUACUUGGUACUGUUUUAUUUUAUUGUUUUAGAAUGAUCAUUUUUUUUAUAUGUAAUGGUUGUAAAGGAAAAUGAAGGACAAGGAUGCAGAAACAGUCGUAAAACAGUUUCACAAUGGUACGAUUUUACGACUCAAUUCUUCUGCAGAUUGUGUUGAUGUGUGUGAGUGCGCGUUUGUGUGUGUGUGUGCAUUGUAUGGCUAUAUGUGGUCACACUUAUUGGCAUCAUGUGUGAAAUGUAUUGUCAGGGAAUGGAUACAUAUGUGGUAAAUGUGAACGUAUUACUGCUAUUUUGGUUUGUUACUGAACUUCCUUGUCUCUUUCGGUGUGUGGAAGGGAUUUGUUCAUUUCUAAAUGAGGUGGUCCUGAGGCUCUUCCAUGAUGAGAUUGUAUGUAUUUCUCAACCCCUCCUCCACACCGACAGAGACACUACAUAUCUACUGGGCGACACAGACUGUAGCCAUGAAACUCAAAAGAAGCAAUAUACUUUUUUAAGAGAACUCAAAAUUGUUUUGUUCAGAAAUUUUACGUUGUUGCACUGGGAGGUCAAAAUAAAGUGUUUUAAUGUUAUGGUUAGUUUAAGAAAAAGAGGCACUGUCAAUUUCUAUCACCAAGUUGUAGAUUUGGAUAUUUUUCUAAGCCUGCUGGUUGCCACGGUGUUGCAGCCUUUGGAUUCUGUGUUUACUCUGAAAGGUAAUGUUCUUGUCAACACUGUAACCCUCUUUCAGUUAUUUUUCUUCCUGUUUUCUUUUUUUUCUUCAGAAAAAACACUUUUUAAAAUUCCUAAUAAAUUAUUUUAAAACAUUC